CGGAGGUGCAAGCGUUGUCCGGAUUAUUGGGUUUAAAGGGUGCGUAGGCGGUCCAUUAAGUCUGGGGUGAAGCCCGUUGCUCAACAACGGAACUGCCCUGGAACUGGCGGACUUGAGUACAGACGAGGUGGCGGAAUGGAUGGUGUAGCGGUGAAAUGCAUAGAUACCAUCCAGAACCCCGAUUGCGAAGGCAGCUGCCUAGACUGUAACUGACGCUGAGGCACGAAAGCGUGGGGAGCGAACAGGAUU
rnacentral:rRNA from 1 species